GCGCUGGUGGGGUAAGGCGAACAUCGCUGCUCGGAAAGCAGAAGAUGCGGGUUCGAGUCCCGCCCGGCACA
rfam:Heligmosomoides polygyrus genome assembly, scaffold: HPBE_scaffold0005029